AACGAACGCUGGCGGCAGGCUUAACACAUGCAAGUCGAACGCAUCCUUCGGGGUGAGUGGCAGACGGGUGAGUAACGCGUGGGAACGUGCCCUUCAGUUCGGGAUAACCCAGGGAAACUUGGGCUAAUACCGGAUACGUGCGAGAGCAGAAAGAUUUAUCGCUGAAGGAUCGGCCCGCGUCUGAUUAGCUAGUUGGGGGGGUAAUGGCCCACCAAAGCGACGAUCAGUAGCUGGUCUGAGAGGAUGAUCAGCCACAUUGGGACUGAGACACGGCCCAAACUCCUACGGGAGGCAGCAGUGGGGAAUAUUGGACAAUGGGCGCAAGCCUGAUCCAGCCAUGCCGCGUGAGUGAUGAAGGCCUUAGGGUUGUAAAGCUCUUUCGUCCGGGACGAUAAUGACGGUACCGGAAGAAGAAGCCCCGGCUAACUUCGUGCCAGCCGCCGCGGUAA
rnacentral:rRNA from 1 species